rfam:Drosophila mojavensis strain TSC#15081-1352.22 Ctg01_11655, whole genome shotgun sequence.
UGGAUCUUAGUUUUAGACGUGUUUUGGUGUGCUUGGGAGUUUUGUUCCGAUUGAAACCGUCCAAAACUGAGGCCAAU